CCAUCUAAGGCUAAAUAUGACCACAAGACCGAUAGCGAACAAGUACCGUGAGGGAAAGUUGAAAAGCACUCUGAAUAGAGAGUUAAAUAGUAC
rnacentral:rRNA from 1 species